rnacentral:tRNA from 1 species
UCUGUAGCUCAGUUGGUAGAGCAAAGGACUGAAAAUCCUUGUGUCACUGGUUCGAUUCCAGUCGGA